rnacentral:rRNA from 1 species
AGUGAACGCUGGCGGCGUGCUUAACACAUGCAAGUCGAACGAGAACGGAAUUUAGCUUGCUAUAUUUGUCAGCUAAGUGGCGCACGGGUGAGUAAUGUAUAGAUAACCUGCCCUUAAGAAAGGAAUAACAGUUGGAAACGACUGCUAAUGCCCUAUAUGCCUUUAAUACAUAAGUAUGCAAGGGAAACGCUUUAGUGCUUAAGGAUGGGUCUGUAUGGUAUCAGCUUGUUGGUGAGGUAAUGGCUCACCAAGGCUAUGACGCAUAAUGGGUUUGAGAGGAUGAGCAGUCACACGGAAACUGAGACACGGUCCAGACUCCUAGGGGAGGCAGCAGUGGGGAAUAUUGCACAAUGGACGAAAGUCUGAUGAAGCAACGCCGCGUGGAGGAUGACACAUUUCGGUGCGUAAACUCCUUUUAUAUAGGAAGAUAAUGACGGUACUAUAUGAAUAAGCACCGGCUAACUACGUGCCAGCCGCCGCCGUAA